rnacentral:misc_RNA from 1 species
AUGUCAGUCAGAUGAUCUGUAAAAACGUACAAAUAUCCAGAGGGCAAACUAUCGGUCACUGUGAGAUGCCUUUCAUUGGUGGACUAAACAUACAGUACAUUGUGGAGAUGAAAAACAUGCCUUUAACACGUCAUGGACUUGAAGCUUGGAGUUUUAACCACAGUGAGCGAAUGUGCUCUGACUGUGGGCUUUGUGCUGAGCGAG